AACGUAAUAUGAGGGUUAAAUGGCACUGAUUUACCGGUUACCGUAGCAACUGUAAGAAAACUUGCUGACUCUAUUGUACAGUACGGGCCCGAAGGGAGACGGCCGUCCUGACGCUGCCUUUUUUGGAUUGUGUUUUUUUCGAACGAAACACACCGGGAUGGUGACGAGAACUCUGGGAUAUCUGCUGUAGCCUGUUUACUCAGAAAUCCCACUGACGCCAACUGAAAUCAGACCUAAUCUCACCCACACACACACACUGUACUCUGCAUCGUCUGCUUCAGCUCUCUGUGUGUGUGUGUGUGUGUGUGUGUGUGUGUGUGUUUCAGGAAUGUGUACUCUCACCCACACACACUAUAUUCUGCAUCUUUCUCACCACUAAGCACUCUGCCUCUGGUGUGUGUGAGACAGAGAGGAUUUGUGGUUUAACACACACUGUGAUGUGUGUGUGUGUGUGUGUGUGUGUGUGUGUGUGUGUGUGUGUGUUCAGCACACAUCAGGAACGUGCACGGCUAUGCAAACUCUGGAAACUUGAUUUUUCUUGGGGUACAAUCAUAAAUGAACGUCAAGGUUGUUUAAAAAAAAAAAAAAGUCCCUGAAAUCCCAGGAGUGUGUGUGCUGAUGAUGUCAGUUUUAGUCAUAUCAAGUACACACACACACGCGCGCACACACACACACAGACGAGGACGUUAAAAAAAAAAAUAGAAAAACUUACUGUGGCAUAAUGUGCCAAAACAUCGACCAAGCAACACCAGGUCUCUCACACACUUAUCUUAUCAGAAGGACAAAACAGUAAUGCAGAGCAGAGAACAACGCUGUAGUGGUAUUUCUGGCUCACUGCUGUAGCGCGUCACGCCUCAUUAACUGGGUUAUUCUGAAAGGAUUUAUAUGGGAAAAGUCUUCAAAGUAUCCGAUGUGAAACAUUGUGUUUAGGAAGGCGGGGAGACUGAAUAACAGCAGGUUAAAGGCAUUGGGAGGAAAGGUAUGAAGGCAGCAGGACAGAAGGGCAGCAAGGAAGAAAAGCAGCAGGGCAGAAUGGCAGGAGGAGGAAAGGUGGAAAGGCAGCAGAACAGAAUGGCAGUAGGAAGAAAGGCAGCAGGGCAGAAUGGCAGUAGGAGGAAAGGCAGCAGGGCAGAAUGGCAGUAGGAGGAAAGGUGGAAUGGCAGCAGGGCAGAACGGCAGAAAGGCAGCAGGAGUCUGGGUUCUAUAUAUAUUUAUUAUUAUUAUAAUUUUUGUCCUCGGAUUAUUAGAAAACCUCUAUAUAUAAACCUUGGAACUUGGCCGAAUCUUGCUGACACUGAAAUAUUUCUCCAACACAAACUUUUUUUUUUAAAUAAUCGAGUCGAUAAUCUUUUCUUUCCCCCCCGUCUCCAGUCUCGGAUGCGGACAGUUCGGACGGCCUGCAAUUGAAGAAGGACCAUGCCUUAAGAGUUUUCAACUACAUCGGCACAUGGACACAGAGGCAGUGUCUGUGCUGCUUCAAAGAGUACAAGC
ensembl:lncRNA